UACGUAGGGGGCAAGCGUUGUCCGGAAUCAUUGGGCGUAAAGAGCGCGUAGGCGGUCCGGUAAGUCGGUUGUGAAAACUGGGGGCUCAACCCUCAGAGGCCGACCGAUACUGUCGGGCUAGAGUCCGGAAGAGGCGAGUGGAAUUCCUGGUGUAGCGGUGAAAUGCGCAGAUAUCAGGAGGAACACCAAUGGCGAAGGCAGCUCGCUGGGACGGUACUGACGCUGGAGGCGCGAAAGCGUGGGGAGCAAACAGG
rnacentral:rRNA from 1 species